rnacentral:rRNA from 1 species
UUGAUCCUGGCUCAGAAUCAACGCUGGCGGCGUGCCUAACACAUGCAAGUCGAACGCGAAAAUCCCGCAAGGGAUUAGUAGAGUGGCAAACGGGUGAGUUACACGUGGGUGACCUGCCUUCGAGUGGGGGAUAACGUCCCGAAAGGGACUCUAAUACCGCAUGACAUCCUGCCUUUGAACAGGCGGAGAUUAAAGCUGGUGAUCGCAAGACCUAGCGCUUAAAGAGGGGCCCGCGUCUGAUUAGCUAGUUGGUGAGGUAACGGCUCACCAAGGCGACGAUCAGUAUCCGGCCUGAGAGGUCGGACGGACACACUGGGACUGAGACACGGCCCAGACUCCUACGGGAGGCUGCAGUGGGGAAUUGUUCGCAAUGGGCGCAAGCCUGACGACGCAACGCCGUGUGGAGGAUGAAGACCUUCGGGUCGUAAACUCCUUUCGAUCGAGACGAAUGGCUCCCGGGUGAAUAUCCCGGGAGAUUGACGGUACCGAGAGAAGAAGCUCCGGCUAACUCCGUGCCAGCAGCCGCGGUAAUAAGGU